GCACUUUAUUCCCCUAAAAAAGAAGUUUACAAUCCAUAGGACAUUCUUCCUUCACGCGACUUGGCUGGUUCAGGCUCUCGCCCAUUGACCAAUAUUCCUCACUGCUGCCUCCCGUAG
rnacentral:rRNA from 1 species